AUUGAACGCUGGCGGCAUGCCUUACACAUGCAAGUCGAACGGCAGCACGGGAGCAAUCCUGGUGGCGAGUGGCGAACGGGUGAGUAAUAUAUCGGAACGUGCCCAGUCUGGGGGAUAACGUAGCGAAAGCUACGCUAAUACCGCAUACGAUCUAUGGAUGAAAGCGGGGGAUCGCAAGACCUCGCGCGAUUGGAGCGGCCGAUAUCAGAUUAGGUAGUUGGUGAGGUAAAGGCUCACCAAGCCGACGAUCUGUAGCUGGUCUGAGAGGACGACCAGCCACACUGGGACUGAGACACGGCCCAGACUCCUACGGGAGGCAGCAGUGGGGAAUUUUGGACAAUGGCGCAAGCCUGAUCCAGCAAU
rnacentral:rRNA from 1 species